rnacentral:tRNA from 1 species
UAGGCCGAAGUCCGCUGGAUUAGACGUUUAGUUGUUAAUUAAUAUUUUACGGGUUCGAGGCCCGUCGAGCCUAG